GGGUUGUGAGGUUAAGCGACUAAGCGUACACGGUGGAUGCCCUGGCAGUCAGAGGCGAUGAAGGACGUGCUAAUCUGCGAAAAGCGUCGGUAAGGUGAUAUG
rnacentral:rRNA from 3 species